rnacentral:lncRNA from 1 species
GAUUAUCCAACUGAGUGGACAAAGAUGGGCAAGUGGCCUGCGGGGAUCGGGCCUGCUGGAUGCUUGAUGCACGACUGCUUGAUGCUUGAGUGCUGUGGGAGACAGGUGCUCAGAUAUUGCUGGUGAGAGUGGAAACCAAAGGUGGUCUUUUUGGAAGGUAAUUUGGCAUAACCAUCCAAAUUGAAACUGUAUACAUACUAUACAUAUGCUGACCCAGAAAUUCUACUUAUAAAGAAUUUACGGUAAUCAUAGGACAGUGUCUGUAAUAAAACACUGGAAACAACCUCAUUGUUUAAAGUAUUAAAUAAAUUAGAGUACAUUCAUAUUCAGACUAUAUAGCUGUUAGGGAAAGGUAGAUCUUGGUGUGGAAAUGGGAUGAUGUCGAGUAUUUAUUAAGUGAGGGAGAAACGCAAAUUACAAAACAGUACCUCUAAUUGCUUCAUGUAUAUGAUUUAUAUAUAUAUAUAAAAUUGUCUUUUCCUAUAUGUGUAUAUAUAAGGAAACUGCCUUAUUUUUGAAGUUGCUGGUUGGGAUUUCUCUGUUCUUUCAGCCCCUGGGGGACACCUCAGUUAAAAGCAAGAUCAGUCUGUUGGCCGAGAGUGGUGGCUUACGCCUGUAAUCCCAGCACUUUGGGAGUCUGAGGCGCGUGGAUCACCUGAGGUCAAGUUCUAGACCAGCCUGGCCAACAUGGCGAAACCCCAUCUCUACUAAAAAUAAAAAAUAAUAAUAAAUUAAAAAAAUAAAAAAAA